rnacentral:rRNA from 1 species
CCAAUAGCGUAUAUUUAAGUUGUUGCAGUUAAAAAGCUCGUAGUUGGAUUUCGGGACGGAGAUGUCGGUCCUCCCUCGCGGUCGAUACUGACUCUCUUCCUUAUUUGCCACGAGCGCCGCCUAGUCUUCGUUGCCUGGGCGCGCUACGCGGCGGUGUUACCUUGAAUAAAUUAUAGUGUUCAAAGCAAGCUUACGCUCUGAGUACAUUAGCAUGGAAUAACGUUAUAGGACUCCGGUCCUAUUCCCGUUGGUCUUCUGACCGGAGUAAUGAUUAAUAGGGACAGUCGGGGGCAUUCGUACUUCAAUGUUAGAGGUGAAAUUCUUGGAUCAUUGAAAGACGAACUUCUGCGAAAGCAUUUGCCAAGGAUGUUUUCAUUAAUCAAGAACGAAAGUUGGGGGCGCGAAGACGAUUAGAUACCGUCCUAGUCCCAACCGUAAACGAUGCCAACCCCGAAUUGGCGCACGUAUGACUUGACGUCGCCAGCGCCCGAGGAGAAAUCAGAGUCUUUGGGUUCCGGGGGGAGUAUGGUCGCAAGUCUGAAACUUAAAGGAAUUGACGGAAGGGCACCACCAGGUGUGGAGCGUGCGGCUUAAUUUGACUCAACGCGGGGAAUCUUACCAGGUCCAGACAUAGCGACGAUGACAGACUGAUAGCUCUUUCUUGAUCAUAUGGGUAGUG